UAGUCCACGCCGUAAACGAUGAGUACUAGCUGUUGGGACCCUUUGAGGUCUUAGUGGCGCAGCUAACGCAUUAAGUACUCCGCCUGGGGAUUACGGCCGCAAGGCUAAAACUCAAAGGAAUUGACGGGGGGCCCGCACAAGCGGUGGAGCAUGCGGUUUAAUUCGAUGCAACGCGAAAAACCUUACCUACUCUUGACAUCCUUGGAAGAAUCUAGAGAUAGAUUUGUGCCUUCGGGAACCAAGUGACAGGUGCUGCAUGGCUGUCGUCAGCUCGUGUCGUGAGAUGUUGGGUUAAGUCCCGUAACGAGCGCAACCCUUAUCCCUUGUUGCCAGCACGUAAUGGUGGGAACUCUAGGGAGACUGCCGGUGACAAACCGGGAGGAAGGCGGGGACGAUGUCAAGUCAUCAUGGG
rnacentral:rRNA from 1 species